rnacentral:rRNA from 1 species
GAUGAACGCUAGCUACAGGCUUAACACAUGCAAGUCGAGGGGCAGCAUGACGGAAGCUUGCUUCCGUUGAUGGCGACCGGCGCACGGGUGAGUAACGCGUAUCCAACCUGCCCUUGUCCAUCGGAUAACCCGUCGAAAGGCGGACUAACACGAUAUGCAGUUCUCAGCAGGCAUCUAACGAGAACGAAAUGUGAAGGAGAAGGAUGGGGAUGCGUCUGAUUAGCUUGUUGGCGGGGUAACGGCCCACCAAGGCGACGAUCAGUAGGGGUUCUGAGAGGAAGGUCCCCCACAUUGGAACUGAGACACGGUCCAAACUCCUACGGGAGGCAGCAGUGAGGAAUAUUGGUCAAUGGGCGAGAGCUUGAACCAGCCAAGUAGCGUGCAGGAUGACGGCCCUAUGGGUUGUAGACUGCUUUUAUAUGGGGAUAAAGUGAGCUACGUGUGGCUUAUUGCAGGUACCAUAUGAAUAAGGACCGGCUAAUUCCGUGCCAGCCGCCGCAGUAA